rnacentral:tRNA from 1 species
AGCAUCGCAUUUGUAAUGCGAGGGUCAUCGGUUCAAAUCCGAUAGUCGGCU